rnacentral:rRNA from 1 species
GUCGAACGAGGUAGCAAUACCUAGUGGCGGACGGGUGAGUAACGCGUGGGAAUCUGCCUUUAGAUGGGGGAUAACGGGCCGAAAGGUCCGCUAAUACCGCAUAUGCCGCAAGGUGAAAGGAGUAAUCCGUCUAAAGAUGAGCCCGCGUCCGAUUAGCUAGUUGGUAGAGUAAGAGCCUACCAAGGCGACGAUCGGUAGCUGGUCUGAGAGGAUGAUCAGCCACAAUGGGACUGAGACACGGCCCAUACUCCUACGGGAGGCAGCAGUGGGGAAUUUUACGCAAUGGGGGAAACCCUGACGUAGCGACACCGCGUGAGCGAAGAAGCCCUUUGGGGUGUAAAGCUCUGUCAGCUGGAACGAAAACAAUGACGGUACCAGCAGAGGAAGCAUCGGCUAACUACGUGCCAGCAGCCGCGGUAAGACGUAGGAUGCGAGCGUUGUCCGGAUUUAUUGGGCGUAAAGAGUUCGUAGGUGGUUUGUUAAGUUUGGUGUUAAAGAUCGGGGCUCAACCCUGGGACUGCACUGAAUACUGGCAGACUCGAGUGUGGUAGAGGCUAGUGGAAUUCCCAGUGUAGCGGUGAAAUGCGUAGAUAUUGGGAAGAACACCGGUGGCGUAGGCGACUAGCUGGGCCAUAACUGACGCUGAGGAACGAAAGCCAGGGGAGCGAAUGGGAUUAGAUACCCCAGUAGUCCUGGCCGUAAACGAUGGAUACUAGGCGUAUCGGGUAUCGACCCCUGAUGUGCCGCAGCUAACGCGAUAAGUAUCCCGCCUGAGUAGUAC